UAAAAUGGAAUGAACCAGGAUUUCUAAAAAUGAGACAGGGGAAAUGGCUUUUUCUUUUUAUCUCCCAACUAAUUUUUAUGUGCACUAAAGUCUAAGAAUCACUGCCUCAAACCCAGUUGAGGGCCAGUGCCCUCAACACUCCCUUGAAGGUCACCCAAUGAUCUUUAAAUGCAUAAAUCCAAAGACCCUAAAGACCCUUUUCAAAUUAACCUUCCUAAAGCAUAACAAGGACCCUGCUGUUUUCCAGUCCUUACCUCCUGCUAUUCCUGUAGUUGGUAGUUCCUGCAGAAGGCCUGGGUGGCUUCCCGCCUCUCUGACUGCCUAACACUACUUCUUUCCCCAGAAGGCUCAAUCCCCAGUUUCUGCCAAUGCAAUGCCAGCCAGGCUUUAAGGCUAGUGCUUUCUUCCAAUAAGCGUCUCCCUACACUUUUAUCCACUGUAUUACUCACACAGAAUGGCCAAUGCACUCUUAUGAUACUUUUAAUCAUUUGUGUACCAUUCUCUCCCUCUUGUAGGUUCCUUGAGCCCUGAGGUUUUAUGUUUGCAUUUCUUAAAACUUUAAUGUUACAGAAUUCACACACCUCAUCUUACAGAGUUCCAC